CUCGGCAGUGGAGUUUUGGAGUUUGGAAGUUAUGCUUGGAGCAUGGCGGCGGUGGCGGCAGGCGGCAGUGGUGCCCUGGGAGAGUUGCGCAAAGACUUGUGUCAAAGGAAGAACAUCUAAACUUUCACGACAAAUAGUUCUUCUUUCUUGCAAAAAGAGAAGAUGCUGACUGCUUCCUAGAACAAUUCCUGCUGAUGAAUAAUAAGGUUGAAGAAGGAAAAUAAUCUGCUUUUGUUUUUGGAAAAGAAAACUAAUUCCAAGUGAAGGAGGUAUUGAAAAAUUGUGUUUUGCUAAUAUUGACAUGUUUGUGGCCAUUGACCAUAGAAUCAAUUGCAAGACAACUGAGAACUUCAUUCAAUUUCCAACAGUAGCAUUCAUAUUUUUCUGCAUCAUUCGUGCUUAAGCCCUGAAUUCCAAGUUUGCUUAAAUUAGCGCGUGCUGAUGAUAGAAGAUUUUCAAAAUGUUUCUUUCUUUACCCAAAGAGGCUUUGUUUUUAAUGUCUUGCUGUCAAGGUGUUUGAGAAUUUGUUGGAGGUUUUACUUAUUUAUUUUGGGGGACACAAUGUUUUUAAAUAUUCCAUUUAGAGUGCCUGGAGGUAUUCUUCUUGUUCUGGAGCCUCCUAUCUCCAAUUUUAAAAAAGUAGGGAGAGGCUGCCAAACACAAGAUCCUUUUGGGAUCUAUGGGACAUUGAACAGGUUUUCCUACCAAUUCAUACCUUCAUCAGUGCAAGGUCGCUAUGGGGUUUUUUGGGGAGUGGUGGUGGUUGGUGUAAAGAAAAAUAAAAUGUGGAUUAAAAUAUAAAAAUAAGACGUGGCAUAAGGGACAGAUAAAAAGCCUGUUUGUAAGAAGACAGGGAAAUAUCAUCAGCCUUCAACCAUAGAAGUCCAGUAAAUGUUCCAGUAAAUGUCCUUAUGUCAAAAGCCCCAAACCACAAGGUUCAGCUUGACACGUAGUCAGUAUCUAUGGCCCAAGACAAA